UACAGAGGUCCCAAGCGUUGUUCGGAUUCACUGGGCGUAAAGGGUGCGUAGGCGGUCGGGUAAGUCUGAUGUGAAAUCUCACAGCUUAAUUGUGAAACUGCAUUGGAUACUAUCCGGCUCGAGGAAUGGAGGGGAGACUGGAAUACUUGGUGUAGCAGUGAAAUGCGUAGAUAUCAAGUGGAACACCAGUGGCGAAGGCGAGUCUCUGGACAUUUCCUGACGCUGAGGCACGAAAGCCAGGGGAGCAAACGGG
rnacentral:rRNA from 1 species